CAGUAGCCGCGGGAAUACGUAGGGUGCAAGCGUUAAUCGGAAUUACUGGGCGUAAAGCGUGCGCAGGCGGUCCGCUAAGACAGAUGUGAAGUCCCCGGGCUUAACCUGGGAACUGCAUUUGUGACUGGCGGGCUAGAGUAUGGCAGAGGGGGGUAGAAUUCCACGUGUAGCAGUGAAAUGCGUAGAGAUGUGGAGGAAUACCGAUGGCGAAGGCAGCCCCUGGGCCAAUACUGACGCUCGUGCACGAAAGCGUGGGGAGCAAACAGGAUUAGAUACCCCGGUAGUCCCUGUCUCUUAUACA
rnacentral:rRNA from 1 species